rnacentral:rRNA from 1 species
UACGGGGGGGGCAAGCGUUGUUCGGAAUUACUGGGCGUAAAGGGCUCGUAGGCGGCCUUCUAAGUCGGACGUGAAAUCCCUCGGCUUAACCGAGGAACUGCGUCCGAUACUGAAAGGCUUGAAUCCGGGAGAGGGAUGUGGAAUUCCAGGUGUAGCGGUGAAAUGCGUAGAUAUCUGGAGGAACACCGGUGGCGAAGGCGGCAUCCUGGACCGGCAUUGACGCUGAGGCGCGAAAGCUAGGGGAGCAAACGGG